UGACACGGAGACAGGAAGUGAGCAGAUGCACUGGGAAAACGGCCCCCAGAGACUUGCUGCCACGAACCUUCCAUCCGUGGGAGAUCACUAUCCACAAUGCGCACGACAGGCCUGCGAAUUCACCUCCACGAGGCCAUCAGGAGGGGCGCAGAGGCUGGCAGUGACGAGGAGGCCCUGGCGGCGGGUCACACGCCGUCCCCCGCAGCCCUCGGUACAUCUCUGCAGGGCCCGUGCGCACACUCGAUUUGACAAGUGGCAAUCGGGCGCCCACUACGAGCGGCACCGAGGCGGCGGGAGGGUCGCUGCCGGAGUCGGCGGGGACAGACCCAGGGCAGGCCCCCCGGGCAGAGGCGGCCCCUCUCGGGUAAAGCUCCCGGCCCUGGGAAGGCCGGACCAUUUACUUUGUCCAGGUUCUAGGACAGGCUGUUUUUCACAGACACCGGAUUAUUCUUGGCAUCGAAGUCAAGCUUCUCUGUCAACGGCCAAAGCCCACGGGGUGCUCGGCUCCACGGGCGAACCCCGGCCGUGCCCAACCCCGCAUUCUGGGCUCCGGGACGGCCCUGGCCUCAACGUCAGCUUACUCCGUCCAGGAGAGCAACCUCUCCAAUGGAUUUAAGGCUUUUUAUAAAGGAAAUGCAGAACAGGCCCCUGUGUUUUGCCAUUUGAAUAAGGAAACGUUGCCCCCACGCCGUCGCCUCGGCGUCCCCUGGAAAGGUCGUCCGGGUGCGCACGGCUCAGCCUGGGGCACGGAGACCCAGCACUCAGUUCUCGUGGGGAAGUUCCCACGCUGGAGACGCACCUGCCCGACAUACAGCCAAGGCCACCCCCACCUUGCCCAGGUGACGGGGCUUCACGGGGCACCACACAGGCCUAGGAACCGCCUCUGUCUACGAAAAUUUGGAAAAUACAGAAGAGUGUAAGGAAGAAAAAUAAUCCCCCAGGCUCUCGCCACCUGUUACCAUCUCCAUGUGCCAUCUUCUGGUUCUUUCUGCCCAUCUGUCUAUUUACCUAGCUACGUUCCACCUUGCGUCGUCUGGAUUUUAAGAGUCUGUCGAUCAUAGGACACGCCGCUAAUCCGGCCACUUUUUAGGAAAGAAAGGAAAAAGAUCACGUCUCUUGGUAUCAGUCUCCCGUUUAGAAACAUCCCAAAUGUGGGGAAAGGAGGUACCUUGGAAUCAAGCAAACAACAAAGAUUUGAGAUCCUACUGAUGGCACAAUUGCAACCUACAUUUCCCCCCUUCUGCCACAUCAUCAGAAACUUUGUAAACACUAUUUUCAUAGGAUGCAACUGAAGGCCAGGAAACAGCAGGAACAUCAAAGGAGCAAGCGUAGGCGGGAAAAAGAACAAGGUCAAAGAGAAGGCGGAGACUGAGAGCCUCAAGGGCCCCGGGGACCCCCAAGUUUGGAGGCUGCCGAGACGACCACGGGAGACGGAGAAGGGGCUGUGAGGUGCAGAGAAAACCAGGACGGGAGGUGUUCCGGGGGAAGAUAGUGUUUCAAGGGGGAGGGAGCGGGGACGGCGUCCAACGCUACCGAACGUUCCAGAAGACGGAGACAGAGACCUGACCGCUGGAUUUAGCAACCUGGAGGUGCCGGCGAUCCCGACAAGCACAAUUCAGGUGAGUGAUGGAGGCAGAGGCCGGUGGGUUCGAGGGGAGGUGAGAGAAGAGGGGUGGGUGACCGCCAACCCGCAUACUUCCUGCGGGAGCUGAGAGAGAGGGCCGUGGCGCGGGGAAUGGUGCAGGACGGAGACAGGCUAGUUUUAAAAGGCGGGGGACGAUUUCAGCAGGUACACGCACCACUGGGAAUGAGCCAGUCGACACAGAAACCUUGGUGAUGUCAGAAAAGGGCGGGAACUCUUCUGGUAUUUUCCUGAUCUCCAGAGCAUACUGGUAUCGUUUGUUCCUAGUUCACCAGCAUUGGCCCUUGACUUUCUGCUAGGCUAGGUGGGAUUAGCUUACUGACAUCACCCCUCGUCUUCCUGCCGUCCCCUCCAAAAUUAUCCCAGGAGAUCACUACUGCCCCACUGUCCCUAUAACUCUAGCUCAGUUCAUCGACUGAUCACCUUGGCAACCUUUAUGAUCACCUUGGUAACCUUUAUUUCUCGGUCUGCCAACUACAGACAGCAUCUCGCUUUAUAGGAGUAGGGCAUUCACACCCUCUACCCUACCCCCCUCGCCAAUGCUUAACGACGACAACAAAACCUCAGCGACUCAUGCUUCUCACUCACACGACACGGGGUGCCCGGCCUCUGAUGUCCUCUUUAUUCUGGGAGGCAGACUGCCGAGCAGACCCCACCGGCCAUUCUCACGGGAGAAAGAGAAGAACGAUGCCAGAAAUUCACAACGCCUCUCUAAGUGUCUGCUCGGUCACCGCCACUCGCAUUCAACUGGCUGAAGCCAGUCACACGGCCAAGCCCGUUAUCAGUGGGCAGGGAAGGAAGUACUCCCCUCCCACAGGAAGCAUGACAAGCCAUAUGGCAUCAGGUGGGUAAGUGCCAUCCUCUUUCAGGGAGGACACUGAAGAAUCGGGAACGAUAAUUUAAUCUACCACAAUCCACUUGCCAAGUUCUACGAGCUAUGGUUUUCAUUUUACGUCGCCGGAUGGAACAUCUUUACAUCUUCCGUUAUAGCUGUUAUUAAGCAGUCUUCGGGGCUGUCUGUGGUUGCGUUGAAGAGUUGAAAACUACCGAGCAGCAUGUAUAUUAUUAUGACUAAGCAAGUGUUCUUUGCUGCAGAGUCAAAGAGGAGCUGAGAGCCCAUAGUGUGGGCCACUGUUCCAAUGAGCCAGGCCCUACGCACUUAAAAGAGCCUUUCUUAUAUUUCACCAUCUGCUCAGUAUCAGGCCACAUUUUGAUUUGUUUCCUGAGUUAUGCCUUUCAUGAAAAACGUUUGGUUUUUCUGAAGUCGCUGAUUACGUCUCUUUUUUCUAUUGUUGGUAGAGGAAACGUGUGCUGCACUGUAUCCCCACUCCCCUCCAAAUUCUGUCUCACUCCAUUUAUCAUGUGGAAUAUUUUUCUUCUUCUUUUUCGAAGCCUGCUGACCUCCUGAUCUAACUGGGUGGUCUGCUUCAUUUUUGGAACCUGACGCUUUUGCACAGCUUUCUGUCUUUACUGCAGUUACUGAUUGCUUUCUGUUUUUUAACAAAGCUUUUAUUUCUGGCAGUCCCAAUAACACUCUUAACUCUAUGGAAUGUCCCCUUCUCACCUCAUCCUCAGAAAACUCUUCCCCGGCGCCUUCAUCCUCCCCCUCUAAAGAAGACUGACUGCUCUCAGACCCGCUGAACAAUUUCUCCUCCGAUGUUCAUGGCUGCCCUGAAUUGGAUCCAUUGUUUCCUGGAUCUCAUAUCUUCUCUCUUGGUUUACUCUCUGGUUUUGCUGAAAUACGUACUCAAAUAACUUCCUUAAGAAGGCUGAAUAGGAUGUAAACUUCCUUGGUUCUUGAAUCCUCAGGACUGCCACACUUAUAUAUAAAAUAAAGGCAUCGGACCGGACGAUCUCUAGUCCCUAUUCCAGGAGUAUGCUUCUAAGUCCAUAUUCAUUCGUAAAUAGCAUAGCAUAUUCAUAGCAUAAUUAGCAUAAAUAUCAAGGAGAAAUUUAAAAUGGUUGCUGCUUUCAAGGAACUCACGUUUAGAGUGGCAAAAAGUAAACUCUUAAAACAGCAACAAAAAGCCAAGUACAAAAGACGCCACACGAGAGGGCAAUAUUCGUCAUCGGUUUGAGCCUCGGGGCUACGGGGAAUUAAGACAGAAGCAAAGCCGGCCUGCGGUGCUCUUAUUAGGGAAGCAAGACUUCAGCUGAGUGUCAAAGAGUUAGGCAGGGUAU